rnacentral:rRNA from 1 species
UACGUAGGUGGCAAGCGUUGUCCGGAUUUACUUGGCGUAAAGAGCGCGCAGGCGGUCGUGCAAGUCGCGUGUGAAAGCCCCCGGCUCAACUGGGGAGGGUCACGCGAUACUGCUCGACUUGAAGGCAGGAGAGGGAAGUGGAAUUCCCGGUGUAGUGGUGAAAUGCGUAGAUAUCGGGAGGAACACCAGUGGCGAAGGCGACUUCCUGGCCUGUUCUUGACGCUGAGGCGCGAAAGCUAGGGUAGCAAACGGG